CAUGUCUAAGUACAGGCCUAAGUAAGGCGAAACCGCGAAUGGCUCAUUAAAUCAGUUAUGGUUCAUUGGAUCUUACCCUUUCUUACUUGGAUAACUGUGGUAAUUCUAGAGCUAAUACAUGCCAACCAGUAGCUCCGACACACUCCCGUGUGGAAGAGCGCUUUUAUUAGAUCAAAACCAGUCCUCCCUCGGGAGGUCAAACCCCUUCGUGGUGACUCUGAAUAACUUUUAGCUGAGCGCACGGUCUCCGCGCCGGCGCCGCAUCUUUCAAGUGUCUGCCUUAUCAGCUUUCGAUUGUAGGUUAUGCGCCUACAAUGGCUAUAACGGGUAACGGGGAAUCAGGGUUCGAUUCCGGAGAGGGAGCCUGAGAAACGGCUACCACA
rnacentral:rRNA from 1 species